UGGGCAACCUGCCCCCGGCUCUGGGAUAACUCCAAGAAAUUGGGGCUAAUACCGGAUGUGACCGCUGACCGCAUGGUCUGGUGGUGGAAAGGGUUUCCGGCUGGGGAUGGGCCCGCGGCCUAUCAGCUUGUUGGUGGGGUAGUGGCCUACCAAGGCGACGACGGGUAGCCGGCCUGAGAGGGUGACCGGCCACACUGGGACUGAGACACGGCCCAGACUCCUACGGGAG
rnacentral:rRNA from 1 species